AGCUCCUCAAGAGACCAGGAGGGUGUCGGGUCGGGGAAGGAGGGACAUUAAGUGCCGGACAGGCCCGUUCCCCAGGAGCGCAGCUGUUCCAUGAAUGGGGGUGACUCACAGCAUUUGCACAGAUGCAUUGACCGAUUUCACAACCAAAUCCAAAGGUUUUCCUUGAGUCUGUGGAGAAAAAUGAGCAUGACUAUUACAGUGUGUUCUACAGGAUGGAAAGGAUCAAUAAGAAAAUAUCAGCCUUUUUUUAAAUCCAAUAAAUGUGUUUUUUUGUCUAUCA